UACGGGGGGGAGCAAGCGUUUGUUCGGAUUUACUGGGCGUAAAGGGCGCGUAGGCGGCCACCGCAAGUCGGUUGUGAAAUCCCUCGGCUCAACCGAGGAACUGCAUCCGAUACUGGCGGGCUUGAAUCCGGGAGAGGGAUGUGGAAUUCCAGGUGUAGCGGUGAAAUGCGUAGAUAUCUGGAGGAACACCGGUGGCGAAGGCGGCAUCCUGGACCGGCAUUGACGCUGAGGCGCGAAAAGCCAGGGGGA
rnacentral:rRNA from 1 species